GACGAACGCUGGCGGCGUGCUUAACACAUGCAAGUCGAACGAAGUGGCGAACGGGUGAGUAACGCGUAAUCAACCUGCCCUUCAGAGGGGGAUAACAGUUGGAAACGACUGCUAAUACCGCAUACUGAAGGAGGGGAUUGCGUCUGAUUGGCUAGUUGGAGGGGUAAAGGCCCACCAAGGCGAUGAUCAGUAGCCGGUCUGGGAGGAUGAACGGCAACAUGUGGACUGGAACACGGCCCAGACUCCUACGGGAGGCAGCAGGGGGGAAUCUUCCGAAAUGGACGAAAGUCUGACGGAGCAACGCCGCGUGAGUGAUGACGGCCUUCGGGUUGUAAAGCUCUGUUAAUCGGGACGCGGUACCGGAAUAGAAAGCCAUGGCUAACUACGUGCCAGCAGCCGCGGUAAUAC
rnacentral:rRNA from 1 species